GGAGCUGUGAUGUCUGAUUGGUUAAGGCGUUGCACUUGAAAUCCAAUGGGUGUUAACCGCACAGGUUCAAAUCCUGGAACCAAAUCCA